rnacentral:rRNA from 1 species
GACGAACGCUGGCGGCGUGCCUAACACAUGCAAGUUGAACGGAAAGGCCCUGCUUUUGUGGGGUGCUCGAGUGGCGAACGGGUGAGUAACACGUGAGUAACCUGCCCUUGACUUUGGGAUAACUUCAGGAAACUGGGGCUAAUACCGGAUAGGAGCUCCUGCUGCAUGGUGGGGGUUGGAAAGUUUCGGCGGUUGGGGAUGGACUCGCGGCUUAUCAGCUUGUUGGUGGGGUAGUGGCUUACCAAGGCUUUGACGGGUAGCCGGCCUGAGAGGGUGACCGGCCACAUUGGGACUGAGAUACGGCCCAGACUCCUACGGGAGGCAGCAGUGGGGAAUAUUGCACAAUGGGCGGAAGCCUGAUGCAGCAACGCCGCGUGCGGGAUGACGGCCUUCGGGUUGUAAACCGCUUUCGCCUGUGACGAAGCGUGAGUGACGGUAAUGGGUAAAGAAGCACCGGCUAACUACGUG